ACACUGAGGCGUGACGACGAGGCACUACGGUGCUGAAGCAACAAAUGCCCUGCUUCCAGGAAAAGCCUCUAAGCAUCAGGUAACAUCAAAUCGUACCCCAAACCGACACAGGUGGUCAGGUAGAGAAUACCAAGGCGCUUGAGAGAACUCGGGUGAAGGAACUAGGCAAAAUGGUGCCGUAACUUCGGGAGAAGGCACGCUGACACGUAGGUGAAGUGAUUUACUCAUGGAGCUGAAGUCAGUCGAAGAUACCAGCUGGCUGCAACUGUUUAUUAAAAACACAGCACUGUGCAAACACGAAAGUGGACGUAUACGGUGUGACGCCU
rnacentral:rRNA from 2 species